UUCUGGCUCAGGAUGAACGCUGGCGGCGUGCUUAACACAUGCAAGUCGAACGGGAAUUACUUUAAGCUUGCUUAGUUGUAAUUCUAGUGGCGGACGGGUGAGUAACGCGUGGGUAACCUGCCUUAUACCGGGGGACAACAGUUGGAAACGACUGCUAAUACCGCAUAAGCGCACAGACAGGCAUCUGUCAGUGUGAAAAACUCCGGUGGUAUAAGAUGGACCCGCGUCUGAUUAGCCAGUUGGCAGGGUGACGGCCUACCAAAGCGACGAUCAGUAGCCGGCCUGAGAGGGCAAACGGCCACAUUGGGACUGAGACACGGCCCAAACUCCUACGGGAGGCAGCAGUGGGGAGUUUUCGGCAAUGGGCGAAAGCCUGACCGAGCAACGCCGCGUGAGUGAGAAGGUCUUCGGAUUGUAAAGCUCUGUUACGAGGGACGAACGGUGGGGUCAGGAAAUGGGCCCCAAUUGACGGUACCUCGCCAGAAAGUGACGGCUAACUACGUGCCAGCCGCGGC
rnacentral:rRNA from 1 species